rnacentral:lncRNA from 1 species
AGUUUACAGAAAACUCUAAAAGUUAAAAUUAAAUCCACAAUAGCUCCAAAAGUUGAGGCUGGUGUGGUGGAUGAUUUGGAUUCCAUUGGAGUAACAGAACCCGAGAUUACGGACUUAGUCCGCGUCAAGUCUGUACCACCUCGGAGAAGAACCAAAAACAAUAUCAGGGUUGUGAAAGAUGUUUGGAUUCCAUUAGGGUAACAGAACCCGAGAUUACGGACUUCGUCCGCGUCAAAUCUGUACCACCUCGGAGAAGAACCAAAAACAAUAUCAGGGUUGUGAAAGAUGGUGAAUCACUUUUUUCAGCUAAGGAGACACUCAACACUGAUGGAGUAUCAUCGGAUGAAGCUAAAACUAGUGUGGUUGGAAGGGAAGAUUCAAGUUGU